UACGGGGGGGGCAAGCGUUGUUCGGAAUUACUGGGCGUAAAGGGCUCGUAGGCGGCCAACUAAGUCGGACGUGAAAUCCCUCAGCUUAACCGGGGAACUGCGUCCGAUACUGGAUGGCUUGAGUUUGGGAGAGGGAUGCGGAAUUCCAGGUGUAGCGGUGAAAUGCGUAGAUAUCUGGAGGAACACCGGUGGCGAAGGCGGCAUCCUGGACCAACACUGACGCUGAGGAGCGAAAGCCAGGGGAGCAAACGGG
rnacentral:rRNA from 1 species